rnacentral:rRNA from 1 species
UGCAAGUCGAACGAGAGAUGAGGAGCUUGCUCUUCAAAUCGAGUGGCGAACGGGUGAGUAACGCGUGAGGAACCUGCCUCAAAGAGGGGGACAACAGUUGGAAACGACUGCUAAUACCGCAUAAGCCCACGGCUCGGCAUCGAGCAGAGGGAAAAGGAGCAAUCCGCUUUGAGAUGGCCUCGCGUCCGAUUAGCUAGUUGGUGAGGUAAUGGCCCACCAAGGCGACGAUCGGUAGCCGGACUGAGAGGUUGAACGGCCACAUUGGGACUGAGACACGGCCCAGACUCCUACGGGAGGCAGCAGUGGGGAAUAUUGCACAAUGGGGGAAACCCUGAUGCAGCGACGCCGCGUGGAGGAAGAAGGUCUUCGGAUUGUAAACUCCUGUUGUUGAGGAAGAUAAUGACGGUACUCAACAAGGAAGUGACGGCUAACUACGUGCCAGCAGCCGCGGUAAAACGUAGGUCACAAGCGUUGUCCGGAAUUACUGGGUGUAAAGGGAGCGCAGGCGGGAGAACAAGUUGGAAGUGAAAUCCAUGGGCUCAACCCAUGAACUGCUUUCAAAACUGUUUUUCUUGAGUAGUGCAGAGGUAGGCGGAAUUCCCGGUGUAGCGGUGGAAUGCGUAGAUAUCGGGAGGAACACCAGUGGCGAAGGCGGCCUACUGGGCACCAACUGACGCUGAGGCUCGAAAGCGUGGGUAGCAAACAGGAUUAGAUACCC